rnacentral:rRNA from 1 species
CAGCAGUCGCCGCGGUAAAACGUAGGUGGCAAGCGUUGUCCGGAAUUAUUGGGCGUAAAGGGCUCGCAGGCGGUUUCUUAAGUCUGAUGUGAAAGCCCCCGGCUCAACCGGGGAGGGUCAUUGGAAACUGGGAAACUUGAGUGCAGAAGAGGAGAGUGGAAUUCCACGUGUAGCGGUGAAAUGCGUAGAGAUGUGGAGGAACACCAGUGGCGAAGGCGACUCUCUGGUCUGUAACUGACGCUGAGGAGCGAAAGCGUGGGGAGCGAACGGGAUUAGAUACCCCUGUAGUCCCUGUCUCUUAUAC